GAGUGGCUUACCUUAUGGCGGUCAGACCCUUGGAAUGGGUCCAGAGAAAUCCAACACCAAGUACGGCAUUGGUGGGUUGCAAUUUGGAGGACAACCCCUCAGUACAGGGACUAAUGGCGCAGGAAAUUAUGGUUACGGUGGGAGCCCUUAC